rnacentral:rRNA from 1 species
GACGAACGCUGGCGGCGUGCUUAACACAUGCAAGUCGAACGGUAAGGCCCUUCGGGGUACACGAGUGGCGAACGGGUGAGUAACACGUGGGUGAUCUGCCCUGCACUUCGGGAUAAGCCUGGGAAACUGGGUCUAAUACCGGAUAGGACUCCUGCCUGCAUGGGUGGGGGUGGAAAGCUUUUGCGGUGUGGGAUGGGCCCGGGGCCUAUCAGCUUGUUGGUGGAGUGAUGGCCUACCAAGGCGACGACGGGUAGCCGGCCUGAGAGGGUGACCGGCCACACUGGGAGUGAGAUACGGGCCAGACUCCUACGGGAAGUAGCAGUGGGUAAUAAUGCACAAUGGGCGCAAGCCUGAUGCGGCGACGCCGCGUGGGGGAAGACGGCCUUCGGGUUGUAAACCUCUUGCAGCACAGACGAAACGCAAGUGACGGUAUGUGCAGAAGAAGGACCGGCCAACUACGUGCCAGCCGCCGCCGUAA